AACGAACGCUGGCGGCAGGCCUAACACAUGCAAGUCGAGCGCCCCGCAAGGGGAGCGGCGGACGGGUGAGUAACGCGUGGGAACGUGCCCUUUGCUACGGAAUAGCCUCGGGAAACUGGGAGUAAUACCGUAUGUGCCCUUUGGGGGAAAGAUUUAUCGGCAAAGGAUCGGCCCGCGUUGGAUUAGGUAGUUGGUGGGGUAAUGGCCUACCAAGCCGACGAUCCAUAGCUGGUUUGAGAGGAUGAUCAGCCACACUGGGACUGAGACAUGGCCCAGACUCCUACGGGAGGCAGCAGUGGGGAAUCUUAGACAAUGGGCGCAAGCCUGAUCUAGCCAUGCCGCGUGAGCGAUGAAGGCCUUAGGGUUGUAAAGCUCUUUCAGUGGGGAAGAUAAUGACUGUACCCACAGAAGAAGCCCCGGCUAACUCCGUGCCAGCCGCCGCGGUAUCAC
rnacentral:rRNA from 1 species